UAACGCGAAGAACCUUACCAAGGCUUGACAUAUACCGGAAAGCAUUAGAGAUAGUGCCCCCCUUGUGGUCGGUAUACAGGUGGUGCAUGGCUGUCGUCAGCUCGUGUCGUGAGAUGUUGGGUUAAGUCCCGCAACGAGCGCAACCCUUGUCCUGUGUUGCCAGCAUGCCCUUCGGGGUGAUGGGGACUCACAGGAGACCGCCGGGGUCAACUCGGAGGAAGGUGGGGACGACGUCAAGUCAUCAUGCCCCUUAUGUCCAGGGCUUCACACAUGCUACAAUGGCCGGUACAGAGGGUUGCGAGACCGCAAGGUGGAGCGAAUCCCUUAAAGCCGGUCUCAGUUCGGAUCGGGGUCUGCAACUCGACCCCGUGAAGUCGGAGUCGCUAGUAAUCGCAGAUCAGCAACGCUGCGGUGAAUACGUUCCCGGGUCUUGUACACACCGA
rnacentral:rRNA from 1 species